rnacentral:lncRNA from 1 species
CUAUGUUUAUGUGUGUCAUUAGUGCAUCGUUCUUAUUUCUCAUCCUGAUUCCUUCAAGUGGAGUUGCAGUGGAAGCGAAGGCGUGAAAAUAUCUGGGAGCCCGGCAGAGAGUGUUUAACUCACAAUGAAACGAGAGAUGGGGAGGGUAGAUGGGGGGUGAGUAGACCAGAGUUUCCCUAUAAAUUAAACUGAGGUUUUAGAAUUAUUCUUUCGACUGCUGAUGUAUGCGUGUGGCCAGAAAGUAAACUCGCUCAGACAGCUCGUCUUCUUAUUAUCAUGUGCUUUUAUAAAUAUGCAAGGAUGACCAGCAAAUGUAACAGGCAAGGAGAAAGUGGCUGCUAACGCUGAGACAAAUUAUAAAGCGGAGGGGCUUGGUUUGCUUGUUUAUGUCCUUUCAGCAGAGAAACAAAAAGGGGCUUUACGACGCGCCCUUUGCACAAUCAGAGGCCAUAAACGCCUGAUCCUUGCUACGUAAUUAAUUGUUAUUUUCGUCUCAUCUUCCUUCAAUUCCGGUACAAUAACAACAACAACAAUAAAUAAAUAAAUGUUUGGUCUAAUUACCAAGACCUAUGCACAUGUGAGGACUUUGUGGUGGGAGUUCCAGUACAACAGCUACUCUAAAGUCGUUUUCAGACUCGGUUAAUAUUAUUUUAUUUUCGAGCCAUCGCUGCUAACAGCAGCCAAAAUAAAAAUGAAAUGAAUUAAAGUUACCAGAAUUGAUUUUAUUUACGUUUCACUGCCAUGACACAAGAGGCCAAAAUUCCAGCAACAGCCCGAAUUACAGACUGAGCUCCUUUAAAUCAGCUGAUUGCCUGCCUGACUUUACGAGGAGUAGUAGUAGUAUUAAUAGUUUUGUUAUUUUCAUUGUUCUUGUUAUUUUUUUGUCAUUGUUUCCCCGGUCCUAUUAGUUCUUUAAUAUUUUUGUUCAGUAAGAAACAAGCAGCAUGCUCAGCGUUCUGAGCAGUUCUUAACUCCUCUGUCCUUUAUUUAUUUAUUUUUUUUGCACUUUAAUAGGCAGUUGUCACAUGUGCACAUACUGUUAUUAUUUCUGUGUUUGAUGUUAUUAUUAUUAUUGUUGUUCAGCAUAGUCAGAGACAGCUGUGACAUGUGAGGCGCAGCCAGCAGCACUUGGCUUACUGUCCAACUGUUAAUGAGUCCAGAAUGGCUGAUGCGAUGUGAUCCAUAUAGUCAUUUAUAUCAGCAGGACCAU